CUACGGGCGGCAGCAGUGAGGAAUAUUGCACAAUGGGGGGAACCCUGAUGCAGCAACGCCGCGUGGAGGAUGACGCAGGGAGGUGUGUAAACUCCUUUUAUAUGUCAAGAAAAUGACGGUAGCAUAUGAAUAAGCACCGGCUAACUCCGUGCCAGCAGCCGCGGUAAUACGGAGGGUGCAAGCGUUACUCGGAAUCACUGGGCGUAAAGGACGCGUAGGCGGGUUGAAAAGUCAGGUGUGAAAGCCUACAGCUUAACUGUAGAACUGCACUUGAAACUCUCAACCUAGAGUAUGGGAGGGGCAGAUGGAAUUAGUGGUGUAGGGGUAAAAUCCGUAGAUAUCACUAGGAAUACCUAAAGCGAAGGCGAUCUGCUGGAACAUUACUGACGCUAAGGCGUGAAAGCGUGGGGAGCAAACAGGAUUAGAUACCCCUGUAGUC
rnacentral:rRNA from 1 species